UGCAUUAAUUUCUAAGAUUUAGCAUGCUAUCAUGUGCCAUACAUUCAAAUGUGUAAUAAAGUAAAUCAACAUUUUAGAAAGAAAAGCUGACCUAGCAGAUCUAUCAAGAGGCUUAUUCUGCAGGUGAGGAUAAUACACAUGGAAAAGUGUUGAGAGAAAGCGUUUUGACCAAUGCUAUAUAGGGAGGUAAGAAACUUGGGUCCAUGACCUGCCUCCUCCUCUAACUCUUCCCUUAGGUUUAUUCACCCCUUAAGAGAACCAAGUCUCCAUGUAAGUUCAGGUAGGACACAUGACACAACUGGAGAAACUUCAUUCAAAGCACUUUAAUCAUACACCUACCAUGUGCUAAGAGGUCACCAAAAGCAAUACUUGCUUCUAUCCAAAUAACCACACAGCCUCCCUACUAGGGUGUCUCAGAGGCAUCCUGGUGACAACCUGUUCACAACUGAACUUAAGCAUUUCUGCCAUAAUCCCUGCUUUCUUUGAGUCUCUUUCUCGGAUAAUGUUACUUCUAUCUACCCACUUAUUUAAGCCAAAAGCUGAGAGUCAUCUUGACACUGCUUCUUCCACAACUUCCAUAAUCAAUAAUUAAUUCAUGGAAAUUUAUUGAAUUCAUCUCGUAAACCUCUCUUAAAUAGGUCCAAGUUUCUCUAUCACUCUUGUUACCACCCAAAUCUGUCACCCAUCAUUUGUAAU
rnacentral:lncRNA from 1 species